GUCUAGUGGUGGAGCGAUUUGUCUGGUUAUUCCGUUAACGAACGAGACCUCAGCCAUCUAACUAGCUGUCGCUACAUCGGUUAGCGUCACCAACACAUACAGCUUCUUAGAGGGACUAUCUGUGAUGCAGCAGAUGGAAGAAUGAGGCAAUAACAGGUCAGUGAUGCCCUUAGAUGCUCUGGGCUGCACGCGCGCUACAAUGUUGCACGCAACGAGUUCAACCUUGCCUGAGAAGGCCGGGUAAUCUCGAAAAUGCAUCAAAGUUGGGAUAGAUGAUUGCAAUUGUUCAUCUUGAACAAGGAACACCUA
rnacentral:rRNA from 1 species